UAGGGAAUUGUUCGCAAUGGGCGAAAGCCUGACGACGCAACGCCGCGUGGAGGAUGAAGACCUUCGGGUCGUAAACUCCUUUCGAUCGGGACGAAUUUCUCGGGGGUGAAUAGUCCCUGAGCGUGACGGUACCGAGAGAAGAAGCCCCGGCUAACUCCGUGCCAGCAGCCGCGGUAAUACGGGGGGGGCAAGCGUUGUUCGGAAUUACUGGGCGUAAAGGGCUCGUAGGCGGCCAACUAAGUCAGACGUGAAAUCCCUCGGCUUAACCGGGGAACUGCCUCUGAUACUGGAUGGCUUGAGUUCGGGAGAGGGAUGCGGAAUUCCAGGUGUAGCGGUGAAAUGCGUAGAUAUCUGGAGGAACACCGGUGGCGAAGGCGGCAUCCUGGACCGACACUGACGCUGAGGAGCGAAAGCCAGGGGAGCAAACGGGAUUAGAUACCCCUGUAGUCC
rnacentral:rRNA from 1 species